GUUCUUGAGGUUGUUGCCACUGGAAAUGUGAUAAUAGAACAGGGCGAUCCUAACAGUUAUGGCUAUUCUGAGCGCCGGUAUGACAUCAACACAACUCGUGUUUACAAGAGCUCACCUGAAUAUGAAGCUUUGACGUCCAAAAAUCACAUAUUUACGCCACGUUACGGAGCAAGCUGUGGUGUUUAUUUAGCACAAGGUGUGAAGUACGUAAUUCUUGGAUCACCAUCCAAUGGUAGGAUCAGCGUAUACCUCUGUGACCCAGGACUUUUGAAGGCCGACGAUAUCAGUCCUGAGCAUCAAGGUUAUCUGGACAAUGGGUUUCACCAGAGCUGUGAUAAUUGCAGGGU